rnacentral:rRNA from 1 species
UACGAAGGGGGCUAGCGUUGCUCGGAAUUACUGGGCGUAAAGGGCGCGUAGGCGGCACUGUUAGUCAGGCGUGAAAGUCCUGGGCUCAACCUGGGAACUGCGCUUGAUACGGCAGAGCUAGAGGAUGGAAGAGGCUCGCGGAAUUCCCAGUGUAGAGGUGAAAUUCGUAGAUAUUGGGAAGAACACCGGUGGCGAAGGCGGCGAGCUGGCCUGUACCUGACGCUGAGGCGCGACAGCGUGGGGAGCAAACAGG